rnacentral:rRNA from 1 species
AUUGAACGCUGGCGGAAUGCUUUACACAUGCAAGUCGAACGGCAGCACGGACUUCGGUCUGGUGGCGAGUGGCGAACGGGUGAGUAAUGUAUCGGAACGUGCCCAGUCGUGGGGGAUAACGUAGUGAAAAUUACGCUAAUACCGCAUACGAUCUAUGGGUGAAAGCGGGGGAUCGCAAGACCUCGCGCGAUUGGAGCGGCCGAUAUCAGAUUAGGUAGUUGGUGGAGUAAAGGCCCACCAAGCCAACGAUCUGUAGCUGGUCUGAGAGGACGACCAGCGACACUGGAACGGAGACACGGUCCAGACUCCUACGGGAGGCAGCAGUGGGGAAUUUUGGACAAUGGGCGAAAGCCUGAUCCAGCCAUUCCGCGUGCAGGAUGAAGGCCCUCGGGUUGUAAACUGCUUUUGUACAGAACGAAAAGGUUUCUACUAAUACUAGGAGCUCAUGACGGUACUGUAAGAAUAAGCACCGGCUAACUACGUGCCAGCCGCCGCCGUAA